GAGGGUAUAGCCCAGUGGUAGAGUGAAUGCCCAGCAGGCAUGAGGUCAUAGGUUCAAUCCCUGGUACCUCCG
rnacentral:tRNA from 1 species